UACGUAGGUGGCAAGCGUUGUCCGGAUUUACUGGGCGUAAAGGGCUUGUAGGCGGUUUGUUAAGUCUGGUGUGAAAUCUCCCGGCUCAACCGGGAGGGGUCAUCGGAUACUGGCAGACUAGAGACGGGUAGAGGAAAGCAGAAUUCCCGGUGUAGCGGUGAAAUGCGUAGAUAUCGGGAGGAAUACCAGUGGCGAAGGCGGCCUUCUGGGCCUGUUCUGACGCUGAGGAGCGAAAGCGUGGGGAGCAAACCGG
rnacentral:rRNA from 1 species